AGAGUUUGAUCCUGGCUCAGAGCGAACGCUGGCGGCAGGCUUAACACAUGCAAGUCGAGCGGGCGUAGCAAUACGUCAGCGGCAGACGGGUGAGCAACGCGUGGGAACAUACCUUUUGGUUCGGAACAACACAGGGAAACUUGUGCUAAUACCGGAUAAGCCCUUACGGGGAAAGAUUUAUCGCCGAAAGAUUGGCCCGCGUCUGAUUAGCUAGUUGGUGAGGUAACGGCUCACCAAGGCGACGAUCAGUAGCUGGUCUGAGAGGAUGAUCAGCCACAUUGGGACUGAGACACGGCCCAAACUCCUACGGGAGGCAGCAGUGGGGAAUAUUGGACAACGGGCGCAAGCCUGAUCCAGCCAUGCCGCGUGAGUGAUGAAGGCCCUAGGGUUGUAAAGCUCUUUUGUGCGGGAAGAUAAUGACGGUACCGCAAGAAUAAGCCCCGGCUAACUUCGUGCCAGCAGCCGCGGUAAUACGAAGGGGGCUAGCGUUGCUCGGAAUCACUGGGCGUAAAGGGUGCGUAGGCGGGUCUUUAAGUCAGGGGUGAAAUCCUGGAGCUCAACUCCAGAACUGCCUUUGAUACUGAGUAUCUUGAGUUCGGGAGAGGUGAGUGGAACUGCGAGUGUAGAGGUGAAAUUCGUAGAUAUUCGCAAGAACACCAGUGGCGAAGGCGGCUCACUGGCCCGAUACUGACGCUGAGGCACGAAAGCGUGGGGAGCAAACAGGAUUAGAUACCCUGGUAGUCC
rnacentral:rRNA from 1 species